UUUGUUCACAUCAAGAAAGUA
rnacentral:piRNA from 1 species